GACGAACGCUGGCGGCGUGCUUAACACAUGCAAGUCGAGCGAGGCCCCUCCUUCGGGAGGGUGUCCUAGCGGCGAACGGGUGAGUAACACGUGGGCAACCUGCCCUCAGCUCUGGGAUAACUCCGGGAAACCGGGGCUAAUACCGGAUACGACCUCCACGGGCAUCUGCGGAGGUGGAAAGUUUUUCGGCUGAGGAUGGGCCCGCGGCCUAUCAGCUAGUUGGUGGGGUAGUGGCCCACCAAGGCGACGACGGGUAGCCGGCCUGAGAGGGCGACCGGCCACACUGGGACUGAGACACGGCCCAGACGCCUACGGGAGGCAGCAGUGGGGAAUAUUGCGCAAUGGGCGAAAGCCUGACGCAGCGACGCCGCGUGAGGGACGAAGGCCUUCGGGUUGUAAACCUCUUUCAGCAGGGACGAAGCGAAAGUGACGGUACCUGCAGAAGAAGCACCGGCCAACUACGUG
rnacentral:rRNA from 1 species